UGCAGCUUUGUCAAAUUCAGUGCGCUCUCUUUGGUAGGCUGCACUGGCCAAAAUGGCUGCAACAGUGACUCUGUAGUUCAUGGGCCCCACGUUUCUUCACUGUGGAUCAUGGGGAUAAAUAUGUGCUGCAGACAAAA
ensembl:snoRNA